AUUGAACGCUGGCGGCAGGCCUAACACAUGCAAGUCGAGCGGAGCGGCUGACGGGUGAUUAAUGCCUAGGAAUCUGCCUGGUAGUGGGGGAUAACGUCCGGAAACGGGCGCUAAUACCGCAUACUAUCAGAUGAGCCUAGGUCGGAUUAGCUAGUUGGUGGGGUAAAGGUCUACCAAGGCGACGAGCCGUAACUGGUCUGAGAGGAUGAUCAGUCACACUGGAAUUGAGACACGGUCCAGACGCCUACGGGAGACAGCAGUGGGUAAGAUGGGAAAAGGGGCGAAAGCCGGAGCCAGCCAGGCCGCGUGUGUGAAGAAGGUCUGCGGAUUGUAAAGGACUUUAAGUUGGGAGGCGUUACCAACAGAAUAAGCACCGGCUAACUUCGUGCCAGCCGCCGCGGUAAUAC
rnacentral:rRNA from 1 species